GCGUGCUCUCACUGUGAUUUUCACAGUGAAAAGCACGCAAGCGCCUCUAGCGGCUGUCAAUGAGACAGCUGCUAGAGGCUUUGGGGGAAGGCUUAACCCAUUGAUAAACAUAGCAGUUUCUCUGAAACUGCUAUGUUUAUAAAACAAUGGGUUAACCCUAGAAGGACCUGGCACCAAGACCACUUCAUUAAGCUGAAGUGGUCUGGGUGGCUAGAGUGGUCCUUUAAGAGUGUAGUGUGUGUGUGUGUGUGUG
rnacentral:lncRNA from 1 species